AAUGUAUGACGCCGUUGACUUUUUAUUUAACGUUUGACUAUUCGUCUUAUUCAAAAAAUUUAUAUAAUUAUUAUUUAUUUUAUUGUGACUUGAUUCGUCAUCAAAUGUUCAUUGAUCAUGACAUAAUUUUUUCAUAUUUACUAUAAAAAUUUUAAAUAAAACGAAUGGUCAAAUGUUGGUCGAAAAAUCAACGGCGUCAUAUAUU
rnacentral:pre_miRNA from 1 species